GCCCCUAUAGCUCAGUGGUAGAGCGCGCCACUCGUAAUGGCGAGGUCAGGUGUGUAGUUUUCAAUUCACCUACAUUUCUCAACCAAUGCUAACGUGUUGUGCAGUCGUUCAAACCGGCUUAGGGGCU